GACUGGGAUGAAUGCAGUGGUGUUUACAAUUAAUUGAUCACAACCAAUUACAGAUUCCUUUGUUUCUUGUCUACUCCCACUGUUUCACUUGACUAGCCUUUA
ensembl:misc_RNA Y_RNA Y RNA